AAAGGGAGACCUAAUUCAGGUAGGAGACGAAAAAAAAGUAGUCCCUACCAGGAAUCAAUCCCAAAAGGUCGGAGCGAGGCGAAAUUGGCUUUCAAACUAGGUUCUGGGUUCACAUAAGACCUGAAUCAGGAACAAGGGCUAUUAGCUCAGGUGGUUAGAGCGCACCCCUGAUAAGGGUGAGGUCCCUGGUUCGAGUCCAGGAUGGCCCACCUGCACAGGUGGCAAAAACAAAGAAAAGAAGCUCCGAAUCAGCACCUUAUCUUACUCAUAUAGUAAGAGAGAAUGCUGGCUCUGAGUUCAGAGUCCAGAGGAACCUUGAAAACUGCAUAGAGCUAGGUGAAAAAGCCAAAAAAGAAGACCGCAAG
rnacentral:tRNA from 1 species